rnacentral:rRNA from 1 species
GGUGUAGUCUGCCCGGUGAAUAAAAUUUUUUAACGGCCGCAGUACUUUGACUGUGCUAAGGUAGCAAAAUAAAUAGGCUUUUAAUUAAGGUCGAGUAUGAAAGGCUUUAUGGGUGGUGACUGUCUCAAGAUACUUAUAAAUUAAUUUACUUAGUAGGUGAAAAUACCUACAUAUAAACAUUAGACGAGAAGACCCUUAGAGUUUUCAAUAAUUAACUUUUUAAGGUUUAUUUUUUUGUUGGGGCGACAUAGUAUCAUAUAAAGCAUACUUUUAAUAUAAAUUACAAGUCUUUUAUAUGAGUGUAUAUAACUACCUGAGGGAUAACAGCAUAAUUUUAUUUUAAGAUUGUGACCUCGAUGUUGGACUAGGGACUAGGAAUAUUAGUCAUAUU